rnacentral:lncRNA from 1 species
AGAACUUCUUCAGCUCAAAAUAAACAGUUCUCUCUGGAAGUCAGUUUUCUGAGUAGUCUACAUACGGGCUUUUUUGAAAUGAGGCUUGAGCUGGUUUCAGACUCAAACUGGUAUUAAUUGCCAACCACUAUGAUACUUUUAGGGUAUUAGGGAUGUAUAUGUUGGAGGACAGGAGAAAAAUGGAGAUUACCUAGAGAUGAGAGAUAAAAGUCCUGCGUCAGGGAAUUUGGGGCUGAGAGGCAAAACUGAAUUCUUUUAUUAAACAUGUUCCAGAGAAACAAGAGUGAAAGCUUCAAAACAUAAAAGGAUACUGAGGAAGACCACGAGGAAAAACCAGAAGAUGUCCAUCCACAAGCCUAGGAGAGUAGCCUCAGAAGAAACCAUCCUUGCUGACAUCUUGAUCUUGGACUUCUAGACUCCAGAAUUUGAGUGGAACACUUGAGAUUUAAAUUCUGCCUGAAAAUUGGAAUCAUUUAUUUGUGAACAUGUUCUGAACACAGAAGCAAGAAUGGAAC